GAUGAACGCUGGCGGCGUGCCUAAUACAUGCAAGUCGAGCGAACAGACGAGGAGCUUGCUCCUUCGACGUUAGCGGCGGACGGGUGAGUAACACGUAGGUAACCUACCUAUAAGACUGGGAUAACUUCGGGAAACCGGAGCUAAUACCGGAUAAUAUUUCGAACCGCAUGGUUCGAUAGUGAAAGAUGGCUUUGCUAUCACUUAUAGAUGGACCUGCGCCGUAUUAGCUAGUUGGUAAGGUAACGGCUUACCAAGGCAACGAUACGUAGCCGACCUGAGAGGGUGAUCGGCCACACUGGAACUGAGACACGGUCCAGACUCCUACGGGAGGCAGCAGUAGGGAAUCUUCCGCAAUGGGCGAAAGCCUGACGGAGCAACGCCGCGUGAGUGACGAAGGUCUUCGGAUCGUAAAACUCUGUUAUUAGGGAAGAACAAACGUGUAAGUAACUGUGCACGUCUUGACGGUACCUAAUCAGAAAGCCACGGCUAACUACGUG
rnacentral:rRNA from 1 species